ensembl:lncRNA
GGGGGCAGUGUGCUUCUGCUUGUGUACCAGUUCAUGCAUGCACACAGGAAAUGCUGCUUUGUUUGCCAAAGAGUUUCUGAAAACUGAUUUUAUGAUUAAAAAUGAUUAUCUACAUGCACCGAUGGAUGAUUAACAUGAUUUGUAUGCCGGGGCGGAAAAAAAAGACAACGUCGGAUUGGAGGCGGAAAAACAGCCGGCAUCGCCAUUCCUGUUUCCCUCUGCUGAAACACGGGCGACGAGUAGGCGGGCAGGGGGAGGGAGUGAUGGGAGACAAGAAGAGCGAAAGGGAAGGGAGACCUGCUUGGUAUUCACCUGUCUCUCCGGAUCAAUAAAGUGGCUGCAGCAGGUCUCAUCACUCGGUUACAGGCACGGAGGAUGCCGUCCGUCACGCGGGGUCACCGGUCUGAGAGGAAUGCUCCGUGUUCGCGGAUGUCAGGGGUGGGAGAGAGCGUCCCGUGGGAGACUAAAGCCACAAUGACCCGACCCCACCUCCCGCCAAUCACUGCGGCACGUCCCGCCCCCCGUGUGGUUUGGUUUCCAGCAGCACAGGUGUGCAUCGCCUCCAGACUUACUUUCUCUCUCACUUACUUCCUGGUAUUGGAAGGUGUCAUUUUGACAACAGACAGUGAAAAAUGUUUAUUUUGAAGUGAGUGAGGUUGUUUGUUUUUGAGAUUAAUAAAAAUGUAUUUUGGUGAUUUAGUAAUUUAGUUCAGGUAUUAGAAAAGGAAAAAAACGUGUGUGAUGUUAUUGACCUCUACAGUGCAUUUUUAUUUUUCCCUUUUGAAUCAAUUUUCAAGCAGUAACAAAGUAAAAAUACACAAUUUCAGUGUCGUUGUGAAUACCUCUUAAAUAUUCCAAAUCCUUAACGUGUUUCUGUAAUUAUGUGACUUCUUAAAAUGAAUUUCAGGAAUUGUGAAACUCAACAUGCUACGUGGAAGAUUAAACUUCAACAUAACUCCGCCAUGAAAAUCCAGCUAAUGCAUCAAGUGUCAUGCAGAAAUGUGAUUAAUAGUCUACUUUUGAUUCCCACAUCCAACUAUCAAACUUCAAUUAUCUUUCAACAUCAUCAAUUGUUUCUCGACGGAGCACAUAUUGAUAGUCCAACAUGUGCGGAACAGUUUGAGGCCCGACUAAGCUGACAAGUCAUUUCCAUUCUAGUACCCUGACCUAAUCACCAUAUCUUAUUAUCAUCACACGAAAACACUAAUUACAAAGGCAGGGUGAACCUGAUUUAUGCUAAUGAGAACGUGAAUAUGCUACGGAUGCAUUAAUCUAGAGUAUAGGACCCUGCGCUGGUGUUAACUGUGAUUAGCAUGUGAUUACCAUAGCACGGGUUCUAUCUACGGGAAGCCCUGCUUCUGAUGGCUUUGUGAAUAUCUCGCUACUCGCUGGCAGAGAAUGAGACUGUGACUCUCCACGGCACGGGGAAAUAAUGGUAGUAAUACAAAAUGAACAAUUUUGAUUGUUUUCCUCUAAACAAAAAAUAUCUGAUUAGAAACAUAUCAAUUUGAGCAUGAGUUUAGCAGCUAAAACGUUAUAUAUUAUAGCUUUUUGUUGUAUGUGGGAGGAGAAGGAUAUAAGGAAUUAUAUGGGUUGGUCCACCCAACACAGCUGAAAAAUGAUGGAAAGUGAUGCAUUUCAGCGAAUUACCGUGGAUAAUGCAUUGAAGACCGUAUCUGAAAUUGUCAUAGAGACGGUGUCGUUGGUUCAAUAAAUAUCUCAAAACGUCAUCAAGUAAAAGCAAAUGUUCCUGAAUUGGUUUUUAUGGUUUUAGGAGACUGACGGGAUUUUUUCAAUCUUUUUAUUUUAUUUAGGAAAUCGAAGAGGGAAAAGACAAAAAGCAACAAUUUCAAGUGCCUCUUCUACUACUUACUUUAUUUACAUUCUCCUACACAACUCGCUUUAAAUGUACACAUGACACUUUGAUUGCACAUGUAUGGUAACAUUACCCUUCAUUUUUUGUUUGUUUAUUUAUUCUAUUGUAAAAAGGAUACAUUUUUGCUUUUCAAUUAUGUUUUUUAUUAUCGUACUGGGUUUGGCUUUUU